ensembl:lncRNA
CAAAGACAUGUCCUGGAAAACAAAGAGCUUCUCGAUUGUCUUAGCCCGCCAGAUGUCUGCCAUUCAUCUGCAUUAAAGAGUAACUAAACGGGCGUGCCAAAGCCUUUCCCUACCCACAAACAAAAGUCAAAAAGUGCUGUGAAAGAGGCGGUCUCUGAAGUUUGGGGGUGACAUGCGAGGGGUGAGUGUGUGGGCCUUUGCAUUGGCACAAUCACAGCAGACAGAUUACGUGGGAGGGACUUGGUUAUAUACCACAGGUACAGGGGCAGGACAAUUGGCAGCACCUGAUGACGAUGUGUGGAGCUGGUGCGGCUUAUGACGUUCUGUGGAGGCCGUGGACACGUCUCCAGCCAAUCAGGAAAUUCUAAUUUAGUAGCAGAGUUUACCCUGAAGGGGGCGCAACCCAUUCGUUUUCAGGCCAAAGUUAGGAUUUUACACAUGUUUGCGCUAUAAUGUCAGAAUAAUGUCAGGGACCAGUAGACAACACUAUGAGACACCCAUUGAGACAGUUUAUCAGUAAGAAAAAACUUGAUUUGGUGUUUAGUUGCUCUUUAAGCACACCAGGCGGUCAGGCCGUGACAUCUCACACCGCAUCACCCUUCCUGCUGUGUGACUUGGUCAAUUAAGAAUGAGGAGUCACGUGCCGAUUUGGGGGGGGCUCUGAGCCUGUCGGCCAUGUUGGAAGCCGAUUAGGGGCACGCCCCCAGAAUUUCACGCAUUCCUCAUAUUCCAGAGCACUUUAAAUGUUGCGCAUUUAUGUUUUCGGCGAGACCGAGACAGAUCUACGAAUACAACGACGAAAAGGAAGAAAGUAAAGCAAUGCAAAGAGAUAAGGCGAAAGAAAAGGGACCUGACUAGAACAAGCUCAUACCAAGCGCUAAACAGCAGUAUUUGGAGAAGCUUGCGGACGUCAAAAACAUCGACCCAUACUUCCAAGCUUUUUCCUUUAUAAUGUGAACACUCUGCAGCUUUUCUGCACGAUGGUUGGCACACGAGCGAGUAAAAGCAUCAGAGCCGCGAAAGAGAUCAAGACGGAACCGGAGGAAGAAGAAAUACGCGCUGAUGCGCCGCGCAAAAGAAUAAAUACUAAAGACCAAGAUCGAGAAACUACAACCAGGAGUCAUGUCAACAAUGAAUCCGAGAGCAGAGAGACACCGAAGAAGAGAAGGCUCGUCGCGGAGGUGGAGGUGAAGAAAGAAAUCAAAACCGAAUCAGAGGGCGAAGAGUGGUCAGAGGAAGAGGAUGAAGAGGAGGGAGAGGAGUCGGGCAACAGUGACCCCGACUACGACGCCGAAGAUGGCAGCCGUUCCCAAAAGCGCAGCGUAUCCAGAAGUCAUUGCGCCCUCUGCUGUUUGAAGCGGUUUCACGACAGCCAAUCUUGGACAGUUGUUUUCGGUUUGGAAGAACAGCACAACAGAAUCUUAUUAUUUAGCUAAUUUGAUGUCAUUCUAAAUGAUCCCUUGUUUCUUUACUCUGAUUGUAUUCAUGCAUGAAUUAUGAUCGGCUGCUUCAGGAUUUCUUUUUAUUACUCUUUAGGCAUGAAAAGAAAUGAAUCACUUUCAUGAAUUCUUCAAGGAGUUGGUGAUAUGUCCACUAGGGUGGACAACGCACAUUUGAAUAACUGAGAAAAUAUGUUUUUAAGAAACUAUUAAGAAAAAAUAUUGUAAACACUAUACAACAAUCUUUAAAUGAACAGGCCACCGGUUUUCCAUACUGAGAUAUGUUCUUACCUGAGCUUAGACGAGUUGAUGCGUACCUGUCUGGUCUUUGUGCGUGCAUUCAGUCACGCAAAACGGCCAAAGAUGUUGUUAGCAUUUGGCCUCUCCCAGUAUAUUCCUAUGGCUCCAAACGGGGGUAAGUUGGAAGCGAACAUGCUCUUCCACAGGCACAAAGGCCAGACAGGUACGUAUCAACUCGUCUAAGCUCAGGUAAGAACAUAUCACAGUAUGGAAAAAACGGUGGCCUGUUCCUUUAACAUUGUGUUUACAUAUUUCGAACAUAUUCCAACAUUUAACCAAAGGGGGAAAAAAUACACUUUUUAAAGUAAAAUCAGUUGUCACCAAUCUUUUUUCUCCCCUCCCCGGUGCACGCUGUAGUCAGGCUGCACCGCCCAAAGCAAUGGCCUCAACAAUAUAUCAAAACAAACAUAAAUGCCCACCUGACCCUCAGCCUUUUGUCAGUGAGCUGUGGCCAGUGUCUCCAGGACCAUUUAGAGCCAAAACAAAAAGUUGCAGCAAUACUAUAAAUUGUACUCAAAAUAUAGCUAGCGAUGCAGGAUGUCCAAUUUAGUGGACACUUGAUUAAUCACAAUUUCCUCAAAUCACAAAAUCAAUACUUGGGUAUUGUAACAAUUAUAUUCCUCCUCAGGUGUUGCUUGAUGUCCCCAUAUUUACUUAACCUGCAAGAGUCUCCUAGAAUAGAAGGGAU